rnacentral:rRNA from 1 species
CCUACGGGAGGCAGCAGUGGGGAAUAUUGGGCAAUGGAGGAAACUCUGACCCAGCGACGCCGCGUGCGGGAUGAAGGCCUUCGGGUUGUAAACCGCUUUCAGCAGGGAAGAAGCGAAAGUGACGGUACCUGCAGAAGAAGCACCGGCUAACUAUGUGCCAGCAGCCGCGGUAAUACAUAGGGUGCAAGCGUUGUCCGGAAUUAUUGGGCGUAAAGAGCUCGUAGGUGGUUCGUCACGUCGGAUGUGAAAAUCUGGGGCUUAACCCCAGACCUGCAUUCGAUACGGGCGAGCUUGAGUAUGGUAGGGGAGUCUGGAAUUCCUGGUGUAGCGGUGGAAUGCGCAGAUAUCAGGAGGAACACCAAUGGCGAAGGCAGGACUCUGGGCCAUUACUGACACUGAGGAGCGAAAGCGUGGGGAGCGAACAGGAUUAGAUACCCUGGUAGUCCACGCCGUAAACGGUGGGCACUAGUUGUGGGGACCUUCCACGGUCUCUGCGACGCAGCUACGCAUAGUGCCCGCCGUCGGGAGGUACGAGUCGCGAGAGUUAAACGUACGUAAAGUUAGUUAGUAGUUAGGAGUAGNGACGAGCGACGACGACGAGAGGAGAG